rnacentral:rRNA from 1 species
CUCCGGUUGAUCCUGCCGGACCUGACUGCUAUCGGAUUGGUACUAAGCCAUGCGAGUCGUUGUAGCAAUACAAGGCGGACGGCUCAGUAACACGUAGUCAACCUAACCUAUGGACGUAGAUAACCUCGGGAAACUGAGAAUAAACCGCGAUAGAUCAUUAUGCCUGGAAUGGCUUAUGGUUCAAACAAUUUAUUGCCGUAGGAUGGGACUGCGGCCUAUCAGCUUGUUGGUGAGGUAAUGGCCCACCAAGGCUAUAACAGGUACGGGCUCUGAGAGGAGAAGCCCGGAGAUGGGUACUGAGACACGGACCCAGGCCCUAUGGGGCGCAGCAGGCGAGAAACCUUAGCAAUGUGCGAAAGCACGACUAGGUUAAUCCGAGUGAUUUCUGUUGAAGAAAUCUUUUGUCAGUCGUAAAACCACAGACGAAUAAGGGGUGGGCAAGUCUGGUGUCAGCCGCCGCGGUAAUACCAGCACCUCGAGUGGUCAGGAGGUUUAUUGGGCCUAAAGCAUCCGUAGCCGGCUACGCAAGUCUCCGGUUAAAUCCAGCUGCUCAACAGAUGGGCUGCCGGAGAUACUACAUAGCUAGGGAGCGGGAGAGGUAGACGGUAUUCUGUGGGUAGGGGUAAAAUCCACUGAUCCAUAGAGGACCACCAGUGGCGAAGGCGGUCUACCAGAACGCGUUCGACGGUGAGGGAUGAAAGCUGGGGGAGCAAACCGGAUUAGAUACCCGGGUAGUCCCAGCUGUAAACGAUGCAAACUCGGUGAUGCAUUGGCUUAUGGCCAAUGCAGUGCCGCAGGGAAGCCGUUAAGUUUGCCGCCUGGGAAGUACGGACGCAAGUCUGAAACUUAAGGAAUUGGCGGGGGAGCA